rnacentral:misc_RNA from 1 species
UCUAGCUGCGAUUCAAGCUCCAUCUAUAAAUGGAUAAAAUUGGGAUGUUAAAUUAAAGUAGACGAGUUUUUGAAAGUAAAGGAGCAAUAUGAACAAUGUUCAUAUUGCUCCUUUACUUUUUAUUUUAUUAGUAGUCUAAAUAUUUAGAAAUAUUUAUACAUAUAAUUUUAUACAUUUUUAUUUUUACAUUUUUUUUUCAAGAUUCUUUAGCAUUCUUUAUUUAUUAUGUCCAAAUAAUAUAUAUAUGGAUGUCUCUCUUUUUUCUUUUUUUCCUAUUUUUUUUUCCUAUUUUAGGCUAUCUUAGAACAAAAAAGAAUGAAAAAGUCUAAAAAUUGAGGUAGAAAUCAUUCUUGUAUAGUAUAAGGGCGGAUGUAGCCAAGUGGAUCAAG